rnacentral:SRP_RNA from 1 species
GCCAGGCGUGGUGGUGCACGCCUGUAGUCCCAGCUACUGGGCAGGCUGAGGCAGAAGGAUUGCUUAAGCCCAGGAGGUCAAGGGUGCAGUGAGCUGUGAUCGUGCCACUGCACUCCAGCCUGGGCAAGAGAGUGAGACUCUGUCUCAA